rnacentral:rRNA from 1 species
UACGUAGGAUGCAAGCGUUGUCCGGAAUUAUUGGGCGUAAAGCGAACGUAGGCGGUUUCUUAAGAUUGGUCUUAAAGACCGGGGCUCAACCCCGGGAAUGGAUCGAUAACUGGGAGACUGGAGGACGUCAGAGGAAAGUGGAAUUCCGAGUGUAGCGGUGAAAUGCGUAGAUAUUCGGAGGAACACCAGUGGCGAAAGCGGCGCGCUGGAUCCCUACUGACGCUGAGGCACGAAAGCCAGGGGAGCAAACGGG